AUUGAACGCUGGCGGCAGGCCUAACACAUGCAAGUCGAGCGAGCGGCGGACGGGUGAGUAAUGUAUGGGGACUGCCCGAUAGAGGGGGAUAACUACUGGAAACGGUGGCUAAUACCGCAUACUAUCGGAUAACCCAUAUGGGAUUAGCUAGUAGGUGGGGUAAAGGCUCACCUAGGCGACGAUCUCUAGCUGGUCUGAGAGGGUGAUCAGCCAAACUGGGACUGAGACACGGCCCAGACUCCUACGGAGGCAGCAGUGGGGAAUAUUGAGCAAUGGACGAAAGUCUGAUGCAGCCACGCCGCGUGAAUGAAGAAGGUCUUAGGGUCGUAAAGUACUUUUAGCGGGGAAGCGUUACCCAACGAAGAAGCAACGGCUAACUCCGUGCCAGCCGCCGCGGUAAUAC
rnacentral:rRNA from 1 species